GGGGCGGGUUAUGGCCGAAUAAAAUGAUAUUUUCUGAGGGAAAUAAGACGUUUCUGAAGUAAAACUUGACACUUCUGAGGGAAAUAAGACAUUUUUGAGGCAAAUGGGGAACUUUCUGAGCUAAAUGAAGCAUUUUUGAUACAAAUCUGACGUUUCUGAGGGAAAUAAAGACAUUUUCUGUGCAAAUAGGACAUUUCUGAGGCAAAUCGUACACUUCUUGAGGGAAAUCAAACAUUUUUGAGACAAACCAGACACCUCACAGGGAAAUGAGACAUUGAUGAAGUAAAAUCAGACCUUCCUGAGGGAAACCAGACAUUUUCUCAGGGAUAUCGGUCAUUUUCUGACGGAAGUCGGUCAUUUCUGAGGCAAAAGACAUUUUCCUGAAGGAACUGGGGCUUUUCUGAGGUAAAACCAAGGAGAAAAGGGUGAUUUUUUUUUUAACUGUUCAGUCUCUCCGGACGCGGCGGAGGUGACUCGGCGCUUCCCCCGCCCAAUGCGGAGCGCACGGAGCGAUGGCGCCGCACCCCCGCCCCCGGCGCCGCCCCCGCGGCGACUGCGGCAAAACCAAGGGAGGGCCCUGGUGAGGGGCGGGGUCUCCGCGCGGACCCGCCCAGGGCGCCUCACUCUCAGAUCCCUCCGCGCGCGGAUCCCUCCGCGCCUCACAUGGCCGCGGCCGACUCACCUCGGAUCCCUCCGCCGGAUCCUUCCGCCGCCGCUCCCGCCCCCAAAUCUCUUUUUUUUUGCUUGUAAAUGGGCGUGGGGGAGGGGCGGAAUGAAAGUCGGGGCUGUGGGGGAGGGGAGCGAGGUGGGGGAGGGGGUCUGUGCCCAUUUAGCGGCGGUCUGAGGGGGCCCCGCGGCGGAGGGGACGCGAUGAAGUUUCCCCCCUGCUCGCGCCCCUUUUCGUGAGGUAAUUUUUGUGUGAAAAGUCGCUGAAAAGUGUCGGGUUUUAAAACGCUGGGAAGCCUUAAGGAAAUGGUGGGUUUAGAGUGAAGAAUUGAGUUGGUUUUGCCUCAAAAACCCAUUAAGAAAGGGGGCAAGGGAGACUGGAGGGGCCGCCUCCCACUUCGGGUUUAAAAGCGGCCAUUUGGGCUUAAAAAGCAGCUGAAAAGCUGCAGGGUUUGGCUUAGUGGUGAUUUUUGAGGGCAAAACCUGUGUCCUGUGCCCCAAAAAUGGCUUAAACUCACCUUAAAGUGCUGUUGAGGCUCUUGAGAAGCUUUAGUGCUAUCCUAGCUUUAAAAAAAAUCUAAAACUGAUUUUUUUAUUCUAUUUUUUUCCUAAGAAACACUCAAGAUUUCGUGAAGAGCAUCUUUCCAGGGGAAAAUAUUUUAAAAUGGCCUCUCCAGGCUCAGCUCCUGAGGAAAAAGCAGCCUUUGGGGAAACGCCCCAAAAAUGUCGGAACAGCUCCUCCCACACCCCCAAAAUGCCUCAUCGCUUUCAUCAGCACCUUUAAUUAGCCCCAGAGCAGCUUUAAUGAAUGAUAAUUAAAAGGUUGGGGGGGAGGGUUGUCCCCUCCCUGUGCCAGCACUUUUGGGGUGUCAUUUCCUGCCCGGAAACGCCUCAAAAUGUCAAAAAAGGGGCCGUAAAAUGUCAAAAUAAUGCCUUAAAAUGCCUCAGAAUAGUGGGGGUUUAUUCCCCUUACUGAAAACAGGGACUUCCAUGACUCAGCAUGGCCUGAAAUGGGGUGAAACACGGAGAUUUUGAUGCAUUUCUGUCGUAAAAAAGGAAAUUAAAAUAGUGGUUAGGGCUGUGCUAUAUCAGGGUGGGAAAAGGGGUUUAAAAAGUGUUGUUUGGGCUUUUUGGGGAACAAAAACUGGUGAAAAUUGGGCUUUGGGUCUGUGUUCCCUCAAGAACUUUUUUUUCCCCCCAAUAUUUGUGACCCUUUUGAGGAGAAACGGCGCCUUUUUGGCAGCGGCCCAGCCCCGUGACGCAGCAAAAGCAAAAACCAGAGUAAAAUGAAUGACUAAAAACCAAAAAACCUCCAGAAUCACCCGGGAAGGUCGAAGCGAGGGAUUUUAGGGCAGAAUUGGCCAAACCAAACGAAAAAUCGCCGUUCGAUUUAACCGUUUUUGUGCUGGACCGCGUGGGGCGGCCGAAGGCCCACGGCCGCGGGGGGAGGGGGUGGCGCGGUUUGUGAGGGGAAAAAAUCAAAGAAAGGGGUAAAAAAAGUGAAAUCAUGAAAAAAUGAGCUUUUUCACACUGCGGGUGGUGGAUUGGGUGCGGGGAUUUUGGGGGUUGCUGCCCUUUUUUGGUGAUUUUAGGGACUAUUUUGUCGCCCCCGCGGGGGCGGCGCCGGGCCGUUUAUAAGGCAGGGCCCCGCGCCGGCAGCGCCCGGCCGAGAAGCAGCCCCGAAACGGCCCCAAUUCGGCCCAAAAGCGCUUAGAGCUGCUCCAUUUUAUACAAAAAAAGCUCCUAAAAUGGCUUUAUUUCCUACCGAGAGCUCAAAAAAUGGCUUUAUUGCCUACGAAAAGCUCUUCAAGCUGCGAUAUUUUAUAGAAAGAGCUCCCAAGACUGCUUUAUUUCACAAAAGCGGCUCUUAAAUAUUUAUUUAAAGAAAAGAGACAAAAGCUGUUUCCUUUAAGGAAAUCUGAGCUUUUAAAGCUGCUUUCUUUCAAUAUAAAUCCUUAAAUUGCGGCGAUUCCAGUAAUGGGAAAAGCCAGGGCGAGCCGGGGCGCUUUUAAUUGAAAAAAAUGAAUGAAAAACCUUAAAAAAGCUCUUAAAGCUGGUUUUCAUUUAAACCGAAGCUUCUAAUGCUGGUUUUAAAGAAAUCGCUGCUUUCAAAGCCGAUUUCUGGGAGAAGAGGCAGCUCUCGCAGCUCUUUAAUUCUUAAAAUAUCUUAAUGUGAUAUUUUCAAAAAGCCGGAGCGAGCUGGGGCGAUUUUAAUUUAAAAAGAGCUUUUUAAGCUUCUUUAAUUUAAAGAAAGAAAAAGCGCUUGAUACGCUGUUUUCUGCUAAAAAAGCUCAUAAAUUUAAUUUUUUUUAAAAAAAGCUCCUAAAGCUUUUUUAAAAUGUAGUUUUGUCCCCAAGUGGGGCCGGGCCGGGCAGCGCAGGCGGGGGCGGCCGGUUUGGGGUGAAAUGCGGCAUUUUCAGGCUCAGGAUGGAUUGAGAGGAGCCAAUUUUGAGGGAAGAGCAGGAAAACUGAAGAGUGAAGAUGGAGUCGGCAGGGAAAGAAAAGUUUUUCUUCGCAGUGGCCCCAUCUGGGGGGAAAAAAGGACUUUUUGGUAAAAUGGCGGCAGUUGGGCAGGAGAGGAGGAGAGAGAAGAGAGGAAACGAAAGGACAGAAAGACAGAAAAUAGAACAUAAAAGAGAGAGAAAAUAGAAGAAAAUCAGAAAAAAAA